UUAGUUAACCUAAAAACACCUUUAAAACUGAAUUGUUUUGCACAUGAACCUUUUUGUAAACCAUGGCUACUUGUUCUAUUGGUAGAAAUCACCAUGACCAAACAUGGAGCACCACCGCCCACACCAGUGCUUAUGAUGUCGAAUUAGUACAUCUUGGCUGUGAAUGUGCAUGCUUAUGCAUUAACAGCUCAAUGCUUUGACACACUCCUUCUCAGAGUCUGUGAGCCUUGGCGGGGAGGCGCGCUGGAGUGGCCGACACGGGGAUUAAGAAGAGCGAGGUACUCGAAAAACAGCAUUGCAAAGGACCGUGAUAGUUGUGGACAUCGUUAAAGAUGAUUUUGAUGUCAUUUUUUUCCUUCCCUGCUCCUUCUACUAGAAUAGAAAGAAGUGCAGGCAAAGCAGAAGCUCCGUGCAGACUUAUGAAGACAAUUACACUUAUGUGAGGUGGAAUUUUGAAGAAUUUCUUGCUUUGCGCCUUUAUAAUCUGCAUGACACUCAUUUUUUUAACUUUUCAUUGCAAUCGGGUGACUCAUUCAUGCUGUUCGCAGAGGAAAAAACAGAUUUAGCAGCCAGAAUGGAUGGAUAAGACUAUUUGGAAUUUUGAGGAAAUAACUCGAAGACAACAAGAUUCAUCUAAAUGUACAGAAGAUGUUCAUCACUGGAUCACCUACUUAGUCCUGUUUGUAUAUGCCUUGUCCCCAAGGAUAUAUCUGGAGCUAAUUUAUUGUUUAUCCAACCAGUACCAUGUCUGACUCAUUCAGAAGCUUCAACAAUAGCUUUCCAAGUACCAGCACUUGGAGCAUCAGUGGUGCUGGUCCCUGGUUGCUAGCCUUCCUGUUGACUAUUAUCAUCCUUGCCACUGUGUGCGGCAACGUGUUGCUCAUUGUGUUGGUUUUUGCCCACCGUUCUUUGCGGUGCACCUCCAACUGCUUUUUAGUGUCCCUGUUUCUAUCGGACCUCAUGGUGGCACUGGUAGUAAUGCCCCCUGCCAUGCUCAAUGUGUUGUGUGGGGCCUGGGUACUGUGGCCAGCCUUCUGCCCCAUCUGGCUCUGCUUUGACGUCAUGUGCUGCAGCGCCUCCAUUCUUAACCUGUGCGUGAUCAGUCUGGACCGCUAUAUUUUCAUCAUCUCACCACUGCGCUACAAACAGAGGAUGACUUUGCCUAGGGCGCUGCUGCUGGUCGGAGCUGCUUGGGGGCUUGCAGCGCUCGCUUCAUUCCUACCUAUCGAAAUGAAGUGGCACAGCUUAGGCCGCUCGAGCGAGCAUCCUUUGGGUCCGGGAGGCGGGAGUACCAACAAUAGCUCUUACUCGGACUUGCUGUAUCCGGCAUCCUCCUUUCAUCUCCACGGUCUUCACUUUCAGUGCCGAUUGAAGGCCACCUUGCCCUUCGCUCUGGUGGCAACUUUGCUCACCUUCUUUCUGCCCUCUAGUGCCAUCUGCUUUACCUAUUGUCGAAUUCUUCUGGCAGCUCGUAGACAAGCCAAAAGGGUCGCAGCCCUGAGCCAUCCACCGCACCCUCAUCCAUCACUCGGGGAACCAUCUCGGCCUCCUUCACUUGGGGAUGGAGAUGAUUGCAGUCACCAGGAUGCCCCAGUACCACAGAAUUUACCACCAUCAGUGAACAGUGAGCGUCACCUAGCUCACAGACAGGGGCGGAGGGCACUGAAGGCCAGUCUGACGCUUGGAGUUCUCCUGGGGCUCUUCUUCUUCACCUGGCUACCUUUUUUCAUCACUAACAUGGCCGAGGCAGUGUGCGACUGUGUCCCCCUGGCACUCUUCGAUGCUAUUACAUGGCUGGGCUACUGCAACAGCACCAUGAAUCCCAUCAUCUACCCGCUCUUCAUGAGGGACUUCAAGCGAGCACUUGGGAAAAUCUUUCCCUGUUCCUCCUCACGGGUGCCAAGACAACUCUCGCCGGCACUGUCCCUGUCCCUCCGCAACUCAGUAGAACCCAACAUCUGCAGCGAUCCCCCAUCCCCUCAGGCUUCAGACACAACACCUCCACCUGCCACCGCCACCGAUGCUGUGAAUUUGCUGGAUGCCGAGCAUGCUGAAAUUGAACUGCCUAUUCUUCUCCCUAAUCAGGUAGUCACGCAAGGUCUCAAUGAGUAACAAUGAGUUGGAUACUUGAACUAACAGACAUUUUUGGGAAGAGGGUUUAGUCAAGCGCAAAGGUUUGCAUAGGGACAUAACAUUACCAACUUCUCAGGAUGCUGAAAUUGUCCACACCAACUUUUGAAGGGAACCACGGAUAUAAGGACAUGUAGUUCUUAAAAGAUAAAUCUUAGUACAAAUUAUAAUAAUUUGAUAUUAAAAAACCCCUGAAUACUUUUGUUUCAAUAAAAUUUGUAAAAUUAUUGUAACUUGUAGGUCGCCAUUGUUGUUGACGUAGCAGGGCGGUGACAUCACAGGGCCACCCUGCCGGAAUAGCGGACCGCACGCAACACGUCACUUGUGCUCAUUAAUAUUCAUGAUGUUAGCAACUGUUGCUAGGGCUCACGUUUGUCCCUCAUGCUAGAUGCAUGUAAUUAGUGUACAAGCAAGAUGUUUCUUGAGCUAAACCUACCAAUUCUGUCCGAAAAUGAUGUUCUUGGUGCCAAAUUCACUGGUAAAGAUGUGAAAGAACAUACAUAUUUUCAGUUAAAGAGGUGGCUUGAGUGUUGAGGGCUGAAAAAGACGGGAAAAAGAGCCAACCUGAUCCAUAGGUAGUUUUUUUUUUUUUAUUGACCUUUUUCUUGUGUGCAUUGCCUUAUGCCACUGACAAUGACAUUCUCCUGUUUCAACAAGCUAUCCUUCACCCCCAUAUGCCCUGGCUUUCUUAUAUAUCAUAUCCUCUGUUUGUCUUCCGUCUCUGACCGUUCUUGGGGGUCAUUUAAAUUGCUAUUUUUGUGUAGCGAUCGCAAAUGCUACUCUGUGACAGCCGACGAACAACUUUAAUUUUUUCAUUAAUACCAAAUCGUAAUUCUAUUAAUUUAUUUACACUGCCCCCACUGGAAAUUUGCUCAUAACAAGAAAAUUCUGCUAAUGGAUAAGCAAUUUUUGUCUUGGUAAGAGUUCUUAAAAUAGGACAUCUAUUCAGGAUGAAUGAGAUCUUGAAACUAGUUAUAUUUUACUAGUUCAACAAGAUCUUGAAACUAGUUAUAUUUUACUACGUUAUCCUAAAUGGAUAUCUCAUUUUUAGAAUUCCCACCAAGACAAAAAUUGUUUGUUCCAUUGGCAGAAUUUUCUUAUUUGUUAUAAGCAAAUCUUAUCUCAUUUAGAAUCAUUUUUUACUCAUUUUAGAAGUGGCAUUGUUGUUUCUUUCCAACAGGUUUCCAAAAGGUAAAGCUGUUAAAUCUAGAGCCUACCUGUAGGCAUGAACAGGCUUACAAUACAAAUGCAUAUGAAGGUGAGUAGCUUCACCUUGCUGGCGUUAAAAUGGUCUUUUGGACGUCCGCACUAAUUUAUCCAUUGUUCACAUUUUUUCCCUCCGAGUUUUUGGCUUUGGGAAACGUAUGAAAAAAACAUCCUUCAUAUGUGGACGGUUGUAAUGUCUAAAGUCUUUUCUACAAGUUCCAUAGUAGCAGUGUUUAAUCGGCGUGCUCUUUUUUGAAAGAUUACCGGCAAAAAACAAGAAGUAAUAGCAUUGGUUGUAUGCGUGCGCGCUGAUAUGUUGACCCCCUUCCGGUGUACGAUGGUGACGUCACGGAGCCUUGCGGUCUAAAAAUGGCAUUCGUGCUAUGCUAUUCCGCGCGUCACUCUUUAAAAAAACACAAAACAAAACAACGUGUCACUCUUUAAUUUUGUAUGGUAGUGAUUUAAAUAUGCCACAAGAUGUCAAUGGUAAGUUUUAAAUUAAUUAGAGAUCAAGCCAAUGAGCGGUUUUGUUCCUUGACUGACGCCGUAGUUUUCCUUUAAACAACAGUGGGGUGUAAGGCAGAGAGAAAGGGAGAAAGGAGUGGCAACUCCUUCACAACAAACAUAAGUACCAUAUAGUGAAAAUACAACAAAAAUAAUAUUCAUAUCGCUCAAAAAAAUAAUGUAAACAAAAAGUGUUACAAUCUGUAUUAAAGAAGCCCUAUUCUCACACAAUUAAACAACAAUGCAAAGAGAAUUGGAUCAUAAAUUUACAAUCAAAAUAAAUAUGCAAAAUACACAUAAAACUUAUGGUCAAACUCUAUUUAAACAUUUUAGCAACUCGUUUAGCUCAGCAAAUACACUGGAUGGCAAUAUUUAGUCACAAUAUACCAACUAUCAUGCUGGGAGCCAUGAUCAGGAGUCUUGUUUGUUGUGAAGACAACACUCAAAUGAAAGUAAAUCACGAUGGACCCGCAUUAAACAGGAAAAAUACAGCGUCAGUCGAGGGACAAAACGCACUCAUUGGUUUGAUCUCUUAUUAAUUUAAAACUCGCCAUUGACACCUUGUGGUGUAUUUACAUCACUACCUUACAUCGUUAAAGAAUGACACUGUGAAGUACGGCAGAGUGGCUAUGUGACGUCACCGCCCUGCGAUGUCAACAACAAUGGCGAGCUACUAGUUUAUUUUUUUAUUUAAAGUUUUACAAAUUUUAUUAAAACGAAAACAUUAAGAGGGGUUUUAAUAUCAAAUUAUUAUGCCUCGUACUAACAUUUAUCUUUCUAUCCGUGGGACCCUUUAAGCAACCUUAUUUGCAUUAUGAAUUACACAAACACACCCACAGCCCUGACAGAUUCAUGUCGACAACAUGCUGCCUCCACCGCCCCAUUCGAAGAGGAGGGAUAUUAGAAGUUGGAAGGAAUGUAAAAAGCAGUCAAUGUUGUGAAGGUGGGGGAAGCACCACUAAAUUUGCUCCUGAAAGUUCGACCUGCAGCAGAGUUAGCAUUUCAUUAAACUGUGUGAACUUGCUAACCUACAAAACUGCUGCGGUCAGGCCAGCCUCCACAAGGAACAACAAAGUCAAGCGAGCCGUCCCUCAUUUGGAUCAUUGUUUGCAUUACGGUAAAGUAACGCUGUGGCUUCAGAGUACAACUCCCUGUUUUUUAAACAAAGGGACUUGCACUUCAAAAUGUUUCUUUAGUAGUUUUGGAAAACAAAGGUUUGAAUUGAACGUUCUAUCACCUGAACCAAUACACAUGAAAGCGAGUAUUAGUCAAUACAGAUUUAUUUUGAAUUGAUCAUUUAGGUUGUCAAUUAAUUAGGUUUAUAUUCGUGGGAAAUGUAGUCCUGACCACAAUUGAAUAAUCUGUUUGGUCUUAUUAAUGUCCCGUCCCCAUCAAAAACUGUACAUAGAGGUUAUGGUGUUAUAUCGUCCAUACCAAUGUUGAGACCAAACCUACGCUCUUGGGUUUAGUCCAGUUGUGACAAUUCAAAAGUGAAUCUUUUUCUAUGUGAACUAAACCUGUAUACAGUACAUUCCAGGACCUGGUUUGUAAGUCGAAAUGGUCGUAUGUCGAGCGGGAUUUUUCGAUAACAAUACAUUAUAAUUCGAUUAAUUUGUUCCACAGCCCAAAAACCUACGCAAAAUCCUUAAUAAAUACUGCAGCUAAACCCUAUCAUUAUUGCGUACACCCUCCUUGGAAAGUAAGAUUUUAGUCUACAUCUCAAUUCUUAGAAGAACAGUAUUUACAAUUUCAACAUAACUGUUUUAUACAAUGCUUGCUUGACUUGUACUAUGAAGACAUCAGCAAGUCUUGUAGGCACUGAAUGAACAAGCACACAUACUGAAAUGUAUUUAGUACCGUAAUUUUCGCACAAUAAGGCACACCAGGCAUGAACCACCGUGAAGCUUUGAACCAAUUGACUGCAAAGCUUCGUUUGGCCAUCACUGCUCCCUUGGGGGAAACAGUCAACCUCUGCUGCCACCUGCUGUCAACACUGUUGUUGUCCAACAUGCCUCCAAGCAUGCAUUGCAGCGCUACAGAUGUAAAUAACAAUCAAAAUUCAUGUUCUGUGCUAAUUAUUUCUUCACUUACUGUUUUAGUUGUUUCAUUAAUUGCUAGUUAUGGUAAUUGAUAACACAUUAUUUGACAGUGGCGCCAUAAGACUGUCAUUAAUCAUAAUUAUAAUUAUAUAUUAAAACUAUCUGGCAAAUUAUUACACUUCUGAAUGCAGGUAAAAGAUCCGAGCUGGACAUAAAUGAAGUUAGUGACAUAAUUUGCCGGAUGACUCUUAAUGACAUCUGCUAUAAACAUUCAGUAAUGCUCUUGAUAAUGUCAUGUCAAAAUUAUGACGGUCUCAUGACAGUCUUAUGAGGCCGCUGUCAUAUAAAAUGUUACCUAUUAAUCCAAAUAAAUCAACAAAAAAACCACACUGGACUAUAAACCAAAGGAUUCAAAAGGAAGGAAAAAAGUAGCGGCUUAUAGUCUGAAAUUAGCGGUACUACUGUAUGUAAAAAAAUUUAUAUAUAUUUGCUGGUAAUGACAGCUUCAAGGUUCCUCCUGCAUGAUGAAACUAAUUGCAUGCCAUGGUCAGUUUUGAUUUUGACCCGUACGAAAUGUCUUGAAAUCUUGAAUGUUCAAGGGCCUCUUCGAUAUACUUUGAUCUUUAGUUCUUUCUAUUCAUUUUCAAUGGGGUUUCUAUCAGGUGACUGGCUGCGCCAUUCUAGUAACGUUUUUUCUUUCUUUGAAACAAUUUAAGACUUUCCUUGGCUAUAUUUGAGGGAUAAUUGCCUUGUUCAAAUGUCUACCCUCCUUUCAUCUUCAUCAUCCUGACAUGUACAUUUGCCAAUUCAUCUUUCGUUCAAUUAUACUGACUUUGCCAGUUCCAUAUGCUGUGAAACAGCCUCAUAGAAUGAUGUCCCGCACCCCAAAACUUACAGUGUAUGCAAUAUGAUAUUUUUUUAUGAUUUUCCUUUGUAAAUCACUAACUGUUUGGGGAGUUAAAUAUAUCCUAUAGCAGAUGAACACAGUCAUAUUUGAGAAAUGAAGUUUAUAGAAAAAAUAGGUUGGCGCAUAAAUGUAGGCACCCUUACAGAAAAAAACAUUAGCAAUAUUUAGUAUAGCUUCCUUUUACAGAAAUAACGGUUGUAAACGUAUCCUAUAGCUUCCAAUGAGGGUCUGGGUAUGGGUUGAAGGUAUUUUUGAACAUUCUUCUUUACAAAACAUCUCCAGCUCAGUCAGUUUUGAUAGCUGACGAGCAUGAAUAGCCCACUUCAAAUCAGACCACAGAAGUCAUGUUAGUCAUUUUUUGUCAAGCUCUAACAAAAAUACAUGAAAAACUAUGACCAAAAAGACAAUAAAAGAUUUAACAUUUGGAGUUUAAAUGUCUAAUUAGUCGAAUUGAUAUGUAAAUUUAGUAGAUCAAAUUAACCUAACUUGAAUAGCAAAUGUUCAGUAGCUUAAAUGCUAUAAAAUGCUAACUUUUUAAAAAAUAAUUCUUUCAUCAUAUCAUUCAAAUAUUUCCACAAAAACUGCCAGAUAUACAGUACCUCUUAACUAAAUUAUAAAUGCAUAAACAAACAUAUUCGCUCAGACAAAAACUUACAGCCUUAUGUUGGCCUUACCAGGGAGCAGCUGCUCUUCAGCCAAACAAGUUGUGUCAUAUUCAGAGUUGUCACCAGAGGGCAGUGUAUCCUCCUAAAUCCAUAAAACUAAAUACUGUACAACACUUUCAAAACAAACCAACGUCACUGAAAUUAAACGAUUAAUCGAAGCAGCAAAAUUGAGAUGGAAGCUUUUUCUAAUCGAAUAAUUCGAUUUAAUUGAGUAAUCGUUGCAGCACUAGUUCAAUUUGACUCUUCACCAUCCUUCGCCCCUGCUUAUUUGAGAUUUUACUUAGCUUGCCACUCUGGACUUUAACUUAAACUGUGCCUGUGGUCCUCCAUUUCCUCACUAUGUUCCUCACAGUGGAAACUGACAGCUGAAAUGUCUGCGACAGCUUUUUGUAUCCUUCCCCUAAACUAUAAUGUUGAAUAAUCUUUGCUUUCAGAUCAUUUGACAGUUGUUUUAGGCUCCCAUGUUUCCACUCUUCAGAGAUAAUGCAAAGAGAACAAUUUGCAACUUGUUUUCCCAUGAUUGGCUUCACCUGUGUAUGUAAGUCAGCGACAGUCAGCUUAUCAAACAAAUUUUGAGUUCCAAAAAUUAGUACUAAACAUUUUCUAAACAAUAAAAACAAAAGGGUGCCCAGAUUUAUGCACCAACCUAUUUUUGUUUAUAUUAAUAUUACGCACUGUGUUUUUAUCCCAUAGACUUCAUUUCACUUCGCAAAUAUUUCUGUGUUCAUCUGCUACAAAGUAUUUAACCAAGAUUUUUGUUCCAAACAACCAGUUACAAUUGAAAAUCUAAAAAAGUAUAAGGGGUGCCCACACUUUUGCAUAUUACUGUAACCGCUGCUGUGGUAUUUUUGGGUGAUGUGUUAUUUUGUAUAACAUUUUUGUAUAUGCAUUCAAAUAGCUCAAUCUCUGACUCAUUUGACCACACAAUAUUGUUCCAAGUACUUCACAAGCUUGUUCAAAUGUUGUACAGCAAAAUGAGUCAUCCCUCAUGAAUAGAGGCUUUAUGCUAGUAGAAUUUUUACCUUAUUUAAUAAAAAUGUUUAGUAAGGAGCUAAUCCUAGAGAGAAUUCCCUACAGCUUUGGUCCUGUUUGUGUGUGGCUGUGCUCAGCAGUCCAGUGUGCAUCUUCCCAGCCCCAAGACACAUGUUCAUCAUCACUCUCAUUAAAAACAAGUCUAUCAUCAGUGGCACUCCCCUGACAGACAGGUAUAUUGUUCAUUGUUCUGGGUGGAGUUUCAGACUCGUUAUCCUCACUAUUGAGAGCAUCCAAAAGGUCUGAGAUAUCGGGGACAUCCCAGCCAUCUGCAAUCUCCGUAGUCCUUGUUGAUUCCUCACCAAUGUCUGCCAGACAAGUCUCAUCCUCCAGGAUGGGACUUUGGGUCUCCCGCAAGGGGUGCUUUAUUUCAGCUUGGGGAUGAGUGUCUGUUGGUCCCUUUGUAGUAGUUACAGGUUGAGGAAGCACAAAGGAGGAUCCUGGGACCUCUUUGGUGGGAACUCCCACUGCCACCAAGAUGGUGUCCAUUUGAUGCAUGUAGUCUAAGUGACCUUUCACCUAGGGAACACGAAAAUACUAAAUAUGUGCUUAAAUGUCUGUUUUUUGUUUGUUUGUUUUUUUUUUUACAUUAAAAAUGUGUAAAAGGAAUUUUGACAAAACCUUUGUUCAAUUUCCAAGAAUACUACAGUAAUUGUUUGUUUGCUAUUUUAUUAUAAUUUUAGGACAAAAUAUGGUUGCAUUGAUGUAUUGUGUCAAUGUGGUUUGAAGUACAAGCAAUUGCACUGAUCCCUCAAUUAUCAUGGUUAAUGGGGACCAGAAAUGACCGCGUAAAGUGAAAAACUGAAAGAUAGUGUCACCCCCCUCAUUUUUAACAUCCAUUUUUUUUGUUUGUAAUUUAGGGCUGAACGAUAUUGGGAAAAAAUUACAGUACAUUGCGACUUUUUGGGGGUUCACGAUAUAUUGCAAUAUACACUCACCGGUCACUUUAUUAGGUACACCUGUCCAACUGCUCGUUAACACUUAAUUUCUAAUCAGCCAAUCACAUGGCGGCAACUCAGUGCAUUUAGGCAUGUAGACAUGGUUUAAGACAAUCUCCUGCAGUUCAAACCGAGCAUCAGUAUGGAGAAGAAAGGUGAUUUGAGUGACUUUGAACGUGGCGUGGUCUUUGGUGCCCGAAGGGCUGGUCUGAGUAUUUCAGAAACUGCUGAUCUACUGGGAUUUUCACGCACAACCAUCUCUAGGGUUUACAGAGAAUGGUCCGAAAAAGAAAAAAUAUCCAGUGAGCAGCAGUUCUGUGGGCGGAAAUGCCUUGUUAAUGCCAGAGGUCAGAGAAGAAUGGCCAGACUGGUUCGAGCUGAUAGAAAGGCAACAGUGACUCAAACAACCACCCGUUACAACCAAGGUAGGCAGAAGAGCAUCUCUGAACGCACAGUACGUCGAACUUUGAGGCAGAUGGGCUACAGCAGCAGAAGACCACGCCGGGUGCCAGUCCUUUCAGCUAAAAACAGGAAACUUAGGCUACAAUUUGUACAAGUUCAUCGAAAUUGGACAAUAGAAGAUUGGAAAAACGUUGCCUGGUCUGAUGAGUUUCGAUUUCUGCUGCGACAUUCGGAUGAUAGGGUCAGAAUUUGGCGUCAACAACAUGAAAGCAUGGAUCCACCCUGCCUUGUAUCAACGGUUCAGGCUGGUGGUGGUGGUGUAAUGGUGUGGGGAAUAUUUUCUUGGCACUCUUUGGGCCCCUUGGUACCAAUUGAGCAUCGUUGGAACGCCACAGCCUACCUGAUAUUUGUUGCUGACCAUGUCCAUUUCUUUAUGACCAGAAUGUAUCCAACUUCUGAUGGCUACUUUCAGUAGGAUAAUGCGCCAUGUCAUAAAGCUGGAAUCAUCUCAGACUGGUUUCUUGAACAUGACAAUGAGUUCACUAUACUCAAAUGGCCUCCACAGUCACCAGAUCUCAAUCCAGUAGAGCAUCUUUGGGGCGGUGGUGGAACGGGAGAUUCGCAUCAUGGAUGUGCAGCCGACAAAUCUGCACCAACUGUGUAAUGCCAUCAUGUCAAUAUGGACCAGACUCUCUGAGGAAUGCUUCCAGCACCUUGUUGAAUCUAUGCCACGAAGAAUUGAGGCAGUUCUGAAGGCAAAAGGGGGUCCAACCCGUUACUAGCAUGGUGUACCUAAUAAAGUGGCCGGUGAGUGUAUAUUGCAAUAAUAAAACUAUUUUCACCAGAUGACUUGAAUAGCCCUGUUUGGGAAGACUUUGGUUGACUUACCAUGUUAUUGUAUUAGUGUAUUGCAUUCAGUACCUUAGGAGAUUUGUUUUAUUGUUGCAAUAUAUAUUUAAUGUAUGCAUUCAUUAUUCAUGCAUUUAAGAACCAAAAGUGCAAAAAAUUGCAAAACCGCGAUACAUGAUUGUAUUCCUAUAAUACCAUUUAAUCCAGGCUAAGAGGGUUUAUAUGUGAAUGCUGAAGAUUGCUGGAUAUUAAAGGAAUACAGUACAGGAAGUUAUGUCUCGGCAUACUUGCUGCUUUUAUGAAGCUAACCAAAAGUUUAAGUACUCAAAAAAAUAAUAAUAAUCGCACAUCCUAUUCAAACAAUAUAUUGUGCAGGCCUAGUGUAUAUAUACAGGUUGUCCCUGGGUUAUGACAUACCAGAUUUACCUGAUUUCGACUUUACGACGCCAUUUUGUCUCCAGUCCUUUGUUUUUAAAAUCAUGUUAACAGCAGCUUACUGUACCUCACAGUAUCUUACUUUAUUAAUAUUACUGUUCUGCCCUUUGGUGAAAUGUGUAUUUGAUUAUGAUGUUGACUUUUGUUUUGUGAUACAUGCUUUUAUUUUGGCGCACGAAGCAUAUAGCGGGUUCUACUUCCGCACGCGAGUAGACAUGUACCGAUUAGGCCUGUUUCAAGGUAUACAGUGGUAUGAAAACGUUAAGGCUUUAAAACCUCAAAAACAUUCUAUCAUACUAUCACUACGGUAUUAGAUAUUUUUUAUGUCCCAAAAAUGCAUGGAGAAAUCCCACGCUUGCAGCUGCAAGGCUCAACCCUCCCCCACCGGUUGUUGCUCAGUGUCAGUGAGUCAGCUGUGCUGUACAAUGGCUGGAGGAGGUGAAACUCCUGAACUUUUAUCCCCCGUCGAAGAAAACAAAAUCGCUGGUAUGGGAAUACUUCUACAGUACUUACAGUACUUAAUACUUCUACUACUACAGACGGCCGCGGCUUAGAGGAGGAGGGCCAACAGACAUGGACAACAUGUUUGAGGAGGGUGGCUGCUGAGGAGUCAAUAACUCCAUUAUGAUUUCGCUUUUAUACAAAAUUAAAGGUUAGUAAACGCUGUCAUGAACGUUUGCCACCAGCUACGACAGUUACUGUAACUCCAGUGUGUUUAAUGUGUCUAGCGGUGGUAAAACAUUUGGUGUUUGUUUCUCUCUGGCAACUGUCUGUAUUGAGAAAGAGAGUAUGUAUAUAAUGUAAACGUGAUACAAUUCAUACACACGUGCUUUUUAUGGAAAACAAUUCAAUUAUUUUUGUUCUGAUGGUAAUAAUGUUGAGUUGUGGCUAUUUGCCUGGCACCUCCAGACUUUUCUCCCAGUAUUUUUCAACCACCGUGAGAAGAGUCUGGGACCUAUCUCCUUAUUGGCCUCUCGAGCCAGAACAAAAUCAUCCGUGCAAUCAGAUUUGAUUAUAUUCGUUUAUUUGCGUGAUGUGUUUUUAAGGAGCAACGUCACUCUUGCGCGUUGGAAGUCGUCUCCACAACAACACAGAUGGUGAACGGGAGAGCCGAGAAUAUGUUCCAAUCCGCUGUAAAUUCAGUUUUAAAUGACCAAAAACACAUUGAGUCGCUAAAACCAACAGUCUAUUUUGCGCUAGCCAUGUUGAAUACACUUCUCCGUACUUCGCUCUCCUUGUACGUUUAUUCCCUCGCGCUAGACUUUCUUGUGCUUUAUCAAUUUGAUCCGCCGAACGGUCGCCAGACUCUAUAGCUAGAACAGCAGUGAGUCGGGUGUACCAGGCAAGUGGCUAUGGGUUUAGGCUCACCUAAAGGACUGCAUUUAUUUUCAUUUUAUUUAGAAUAUUUUGUUAUUUUGUAAAUUUAUAUUAACUUAACAUUAUACUUAUGUUCCAAUUUGCUAAUAUGUUUUGAAAAAUAAAAAUCCUGUUCAAUGGAUUUUUUUUUAAAAUCCAGAUAUCUCGAAGUAACAUUUUAGAGCUGUAAUUGCAAUACUGUGCAACUGACGACCGUGGUAUUUUGGCUUAAGGUUAUCAUACCGUCAGAAUCUCAUACCAGCACAUGCCUACACGCGAGUUAGAGCACAUGUACACACGAAAAAAACCAUAUUUGCGCACGCGAAGAAGAACUCAUUCACACCCACAAAAAAGUCACGCAACCGAGUGAGUGAGACAGAGAGGGAAAAGAUUAUAGCUUAGCUUGCUAUUUAGCUAGGACUUAGAACUAACGUCUUGGCGAGGACAGUACAAUCAUGUAUAAUAAAUGUUUUUGUAUAGUUAUUUUGAGAUUUAGGAGGUAUUUAGGGGUACUUAAGGGGUUAAUUCCGAUUUACGUGGAAAUUCAGGUUACGUCGCCAGGGUAGGAACGGAACUUGUUGGUCACCAGGGGACUACCUGUAAUAUCAAUAAGUGUAUAUGAAACCCUAUAAAUGCAUAUGUUAUCAUUAGAACAUUAUAGUUUGAAAUGUGUAAAUAAAGUAUUAAUAAAUAACACAUAAAAUAAUGUAUAAAUCAUAUAAAUAAUACGCACUAUACAUUCUCUCACGUCUCGGCCAAUCAGCUUGCAGGUUUGCUGAGUCAGAAGGGAUCUCUUAGAGGGUUGGUGGCCAGCAAAUCAGAGAGGUGGAUUUUGAGUUGUGCAGGCUCUCCUUGCCUUCUGCUAGCUUUUAACCUAGCCUAACUUUAACUUUUGUGCCAUAUUUUCUAAAUUUUUUAUUUUUCAAUGAAUAUUUUUUUUAAUCCGCGAUGCACUGAGGGCGCAAAAGUUGAGCUGCGAAGUAGCGAGUGAUCACUGUAUGUGGCUGAUUAGUUUGCUUUAACUUGAAGGCUUAACUGUAAGUGAUAGGAGCGCCAUUUGGUGGCACUGAAUUCAACAACCCAAUAAACAGCCAAAUAGAGAACAAUUCUUCGAAAAUAAAGUCUGAAGCUUUUAACUGCUACUCCCAGUACACUUUUACUAUCAAACUAAACCAAAACUAAGUAACAAGCAGAGCAAGUCUUUCAGUCCGCUAUCUUAAUAGUAGCGCUAAUUAGCAUGUAUGUUAGUUAUGGUUUUAAUGUAAAAUAAUAUGUAGUGUCUUUUUCCCUGAAUAAAAUAUACUUUAUGUACAUAUUAUUGCAUGAACAUGCUCUACUACACACUUAUUUUAUCCAUUCAAUUAUGCAGUAUCUAAAUUUCCAUCCAUAAUAGUGCCUUAACGGCAGACCCCAAGAUAUUUUAUGGUUGAAUGACCCACCUGAGAAAACUGCUACCAUGCAGUAAUUGGUUGGUUCACUUGAAAAUGUACUGACACUUGGUAACCUGAUUAAAAAAUGGAAAUUAACAAAAAAAAAAAAAAAAAAAAAAAAAAAAGGCUCACCACAGAGGAAAGGUCUACAUUAAUAACACGUCGAUCCUUGAUGUUAAUUGGUUGUAGCCCAGCAACACACAGCUGGGCAGCUGAGCUUCGGUACAAGAACCCAAGGAGCCAAUCCCCUCUGAAAGGUGGAAAAUAUCCUGCUGAGAAUACUUGACAACUGACAUCUUGCAAUUUUUCUAAGUAAGUGGUUCUCCAACCUUUUACACUGUAAAGAUUUCUUAGUUACCAAUGCAACCAUCCACCAUUGAAAUACAGUAACUAGUAGUCCUGAAUGAUUAUCAGAAAUGAGGACGAGAAGUAUACCUGUGUUCACCAUUGUUAGUCAAUGUGACAUUACGCAUAGUUUGAACAUUACCACAAUAAUUACACACAAUAAAGAUGGACUUAACAAGUCAAUAAAAAUGUACAUGAAGAUAAAUAAAACAUGGAGUUGAAUGUUUAAAAAAAAAGUUCUUAAGGAUUGAGUGCAAAUAUAUUGUGAUGUACGUACAAGUUACUGACCUGUACUUAAAAAAAAAAAAAAAAAGUUCUGCACUUGCAAACUGUAUAUGGCGGAAAACACAGGUGGCUUGAAGUUCCGCUCUGAGACCCCCAAUUUGGCCAAAUUUACAAAUUCUCCAAAUAGUCAUUUAUGCAUGUGUACGGUAAUACAUCAUCGGAAAUCUUAAAAUCUCUAUUUUCUGGUGGAAGAAAAAUUUUGUGUGGAAGGGCAUAUAAAAAAGAAAUUUUUUUUUCAACUCCUACACCCUAACUCGAGGUGAUAUUAUCGCGUACUUACCUUAUUUCGGUCCAAAAACACUGUGUAGCAUGUAUCACCGAGUGUCAAGACACAGCUGUGAAUGGCCACAGCCGGGCUUUUUGGGGAUUUUAUAGGUGAAACACGGUAAUAUAACAAGGGUUGCGAUGCAGAAAUCGCAGACAUCAAGGAGUGGUCGAGAUUUUCUUUAUCAAAUAUUUACGCUUUUAAACUUUUUUAUUUCAAAUUUUCUUUGUUUGGAUCCAUUAUUUAUCAUCUAAAUAUUGGAGAAAAUGCGACAGUAACAAAAAAAAUACAAUUAAGCGAUAGUUACGAGGGGGAUAUCGGUGACCAAUUUAGAGACACAAUUUUUUUUCAGUAUGACGUAAUUUGUUUUAAAGUUUGUUUUUAAAGUUUAAAAUAUGUGAGUGAAUAAAAGUCAUACUAAGUAUUAGACAUGAAUGAUUCCAAGCUAAAAAUGAACAUUUCAAAUAAUAUUUAUUAUAACUUACCUUCUUUAUGGCUGGGCUGAAACAAAAGCGGUUGCGCGGUGUCUGUAAAUGGGGGUCUCCAGGGUAAAACGGACAGUUUAAAAAUAGUUUGGAGGCUUAAUGCGCCAUGAAACUGCUGUGGCAGCAUAUACAGAUAUAUUGUUCUAUCAAACACAACAGUUCUU